rnacentral:lncRNA from 1 species
CCGCCGCAACCGUCGCCGUCAAUGGCUGCUCUCCGGCAGACCGUGCGGCGCUUCUAGCCUUCCGGAAAGAACUCACCGAACCUUACCUCGGCGUCUUCGACUCAUGGUCCGGCGAUAACUGCUGCGUCAACUGGUACGGCGUCAGCUGCGACUCCACCACCGGUCGCGUCACCGACGUCAACCUCCGCGGCGAGUCAGAGGACGUGAUAUUCGAGAGCACCGGCCGCUCCGGCUACAUGUCAGGCAAAAUCUCGCCGGCGAUUUGCAAGAUCGAGCACCUCACCACACUCAUCGUCGCCGACUGGAAAGCCAUCUCCGGCGAGAUUCCUCCCUGUAUCACCUCACUCUCCUCCCUCCGCAUCAUGGACCUCAUCGGAAACCAAAUCUCCGGCCAGAUCCCAACCGACAUAGGGAAGUUACAGCGGCU